AUUGAACGCUGGCGGCAGGCCUAACACAUGCAAGUCGAGCGGCAGCGGGACCUUCGGGUUGCCGGCGAGCGGCGGACGGGUGAGUAAUGCCUAGGAAUCUGCCUGUUAGUGGGGGAUAGCGCGGGGAAACUCGCGCUAAUACCGCAUACGUCCUACGGGAGAAAGCGGGGGCUCUUCGGACCUCGCGCUAACAGAUGAGCCUAGGUCGGAUUAGCUAGUUGGUGGGGUAAUGGCCCACCAAGGCGACGAUCCGUAACUGGUCUGAGAGGAUGAUCAGUCACACUGGAACUGGGACACGGUCCAGACUCCUACGGGAGGCAGCAGUGGGGAAUAUUGGACAAUGGGCGAAAGCCUGAUCCAGCCAUGCCGCGUGUGUGAAGAAGGUCUUCGGAUUGUAAAGCACUUUAAGUCGGGAGGAAGGGCUGUAGGCUAAUACCUUGCAGUUUUGACGUUACCGACAGAAUAAGCACCGGCUAACUUCGUGCCAGCAGCCGCAGUAACAC
rnacentral:rRNA from 1 species